UUGUUAACAUAUCCCACAGAUUACCCAAUUUUCUAGUAAUAGCAUUUCGACAUCUGUGUCUCCGAUUCCUCCGAUGACUUUGAUACUUUGGCAAAAGUACACAGUUGGGAGAAAGAUACUGUAGAGAGUUGUGUGUUCGCUGAAUUCCCAGUCUUCAGUCUGCUAUUAAGAGGCGUGGCUGCAUCUUCUCUUCUGGGGGGGUGACUGGCCGAAGAUUGCUAACAUCGUAUCCUGUAUUAUUUGCAUUAUGAAACAACGGUGGAAAAGCAGGGGCCAAAGCACUUCCAGAGCCCAAUGAACUAGUCUGCAGACUGUGAGGCUCAUGGAAGAAAGACUGCGGCAGAGCCCUCAUCCGCAUAGGCAGGGGUUCUGAAAAGACAAAAUACAUGGUUUCGUUAAACGAAAUUGAAAGGUUCCUAUGCAAAGGUACAAGCCCCUGCCAGAAAAUAAUAAUAUGUUCGAAUUUCUUUUCUAUAAUGUUAAAAAAAUGUUUUUUUUAAAUAUAAUAGAUAGAUAGCCAUUUUUCAAUGCUUAGCUCAUAGUGUCUUACUUGUGUUAAUUAAGGGACAUGUCAUUAUUUAGCAGGGGGGGAGGGAAAAAAAUUCCUAACCAAUGCUGGCUGGGAAUGGUUCCUCCUUGGAAAAAGAAACUGAUAUUUUUUUCUCAGAAAAUUUUUAAGAUGGAUGUUUUCAGCAUCAGAACAUAUUCAAACGAAAAAACUUGCCAUUGUGUUUCAGGAAGGAGGGAAUGUUGUAUGCCCACUUUUGGCCCAUGACUUAUAAACUUAGUUUUCAGUAAACAUAUCACCCCUAAAUAUCUAUAUUUAUUUGACAACCAAACGUUUUUUCCAUGAAUUUCAUGUUGACACUAGCGUUUCUUACAGAUACAUUUGUGUUAUUUUUUUAUGUAUAGGGGGUCCCUUUUUUACCCUUUGGCUUGAGGAGGUUCCUAUUUUUUUUACUCUAUGGCUGGGGAAGGGUCCUAUUUUUUUGCGAAUCUUUUUUAAAAAAAUCAGAGCCCCCCCCCCCCCCCCCCCCUCCUGCUGCUGAAUAAUGACACGCCCGUAACUUAUAAAGAAGUGUAUACAAACAAUAUUGACAAGGGUCAGCUUUGGGUGGCGAUAGACACAGCACACAGUGCUGGAACCACUUACAUAACACACAAACCAAUCCCAUGGCAGUUUGCUAGCAAUUUGUGAUUUCCUGUGUUUGACAUGACAGAGAGUCAUGUCAAACAAUACUAGCUGAUAAACCCCGCUUGGCUUUAUUCUAGAUUAAAACAAAAAGAAGAGUGCUUCUUUACGGCAUGUAUCAUUUUUUCGAAUUGUUAUUCAUGAAUUGCAGUAAAAUGCUACUAAAUAUAGGUAAUAUUAUUGGUACAUCAGAAGGAAAAAACACAUUGAAUCAAUUAUGAAUCGCUUGGAAUUAAAAUGGGAUUUGAGCUAUUAUUCAAUAACUCUCUCUCGAGUCAUUUUCGUUUAUUUCAAAAUCAUAUCGUGGCAAUGUUCUCGAGAAAACUCUUUCACGCAACUCACUUUAUCAUGAUAUGUCUCGGCAAAUGUCAAUUCCACAUAUCCGAAAAGUCAGCCCUAGACAUACUCAGGAAAACGUCUAGACCCAACAAAAAAGGCGGACCACCUUUACUUACUUCCAAAAUAGAAAUAUGUAAAAGAUUUACAAGGACGGAAAUAAAACAAAAACAAAAUGGCA